GCAGGUGAAUACAACGUUGAGCGAUGAACGUUGUGCUCCAUAUCCAUAAUUGUAGUGUUUCUCAUAUUGAGGUUAUACAGAUUAAUUUACGUGUUGUGCCGAUGCUAAAAUUAGCAUCGGCCAUU
rfam:Xenorhabdus cabanillasii JM26, WGS project CBXE01000000 data, contig: XENCA_2134_Contig_99